GCCCAGAUGGCGGAAUUGGUAGACGCGCUAGAUUUAGGCUCUAGUGUCGAGAGACGUGCAGGUUCGACCCCUGUUCUGGGUACCA
rnacentral:tRNA from 1 species